AACGAACGCUGGCGGCAUGCCUAACACAUGCAAGUCGAACGAGACCUUCGGGUCUAGUGGCGCACGGGUGCGUAACGCGUGGGAACCUGCCCUUAGGUUCGGAAUAACUCCCCGAAAGGGGUGCUAAUACCGGAUAAUGUCUUCGGACCAAAGAUUUAUCGCCUUUGGAUGGGCCCGCGUUGGAUUAGCUAGUUGGUAGGGUAAAAGCCUACCAAGGCGACGAUCCAUAGCUGGUCUGAGAGGAUGAUCAGCCACACUGGGACUGAGACACGGCCCAGACUCCUACGGGAGGUAGCAGUGGGGAAUAUUGGACAAUGGGCGAAAGCCUGAUCCAGCAAUGACGGGUGAGUGAUGAAGGCCUUAGGGUUGUAAAGCUCUUUUACCCGGGAUGAUAAUGACAGUACCGGGAGAAUAAGCUCCGGCUAACUCCGUG
rnacentral:rRNA from 1 species